AGCCAUUACAGGUGUUGCAUGGCUGUCGUCAGCUCGUGUCGUGAGAUGUUCGGUUAAGUCCGCUAACGAGCGCAACCCUCGCUGUGUGUUAUAUGUGUCACACAGGACUGCUGGUAUUAAGCCGGAGGAAGGUGGGGACGACGUCAAGUCAGCAUGACCUUUAUAUCCAGGGCUACACACACGCUACAAUGGUCAGUACAAUGGGUUGCCAAGCCGCGAGGCGGAGCCAAUCCUAAAAAGCUGGCCUCAGUUCAGAUUGCAGUCUGAAACUCGACUGCAUGAAGUCGGAGUUGCUAGUAAACGCAGGUCAGCUAUACUGCGUUGAAUACGUUCCCGGGGCUU
rnacentral:rRNA from 1 species